rnacentral:rRNA from 1 species
CUACGGGAUGCUGCAGUGGGGAAUUUUGGACAAUGGGCGCAAGCCUGAUCCAGCCAUUCCGCGUGAGUAAAGAAGGCCUUCGGGUUGUAAAGCUCUUUCGCAAGGGAAGAAAACUUACUUUCUAAUAAAGAGUGAGGUUGACGGUACCUUGAUAAGAAGCACCGGCUAACUACGUGCCAGCAGCCGCGGUAAUACGUAGGGUGCGAGCGUUAAUCGGAAUUACUGGGCGUAAAGCGUGCGCAGGCGGUUUUGUAAGUCAGAUGUGAAAUCCCCGAGCUCAACUUGGGAACUGCGUUUGAAACUACGAGACUAGAAUAUGUCAGAGGGGGGUAGAAUUCCACGUGUAGCAGUGAAAUGCGUAGAGAUGUGGAGGAAUACCAAUGGCGAAGGCAGCCCCCUGGGAUAAUAUUGACGCUCAUGCACGAAAGCGUGGGGAGCAAACAGGAUUAGAUACCCCUGUAGUC